CACAAAGCAGAAUGGACAUCAAAUUUAAUAUGAUCUCCAAGGAUAGGCUGUCUACAUGCGUGUCUCUAACCAAUUGCUUUCCAGCGAUAGACGGUCAGCUGCCGUCGCGAGACACAGGAUGGUAAUUAAUGUUGCAUCUCACAGGCCGUCCGUCCGACUGUAAAAGUCGAUAUGCAGCGUGUGAGGGGCUCGAGGAUUUGCCACAUAUUUGCAUAUAUCUGGACAUAUCUCUUCAGCCCUGGAUUUCUCCAUGUCCAUAUCCACUCUUCGAGAAGCAGUGCAUGGAAACACACCAUAUGUCUCGAUUAAACCAUGCCCACUGCCAAAACGCAACGGUCCCUCAAGGCGAUAGGGCCCAAGUCGCUUCCGUGCUACCUAAAAGCGACGUUCCCGUCAAGCAUGCAAUGGGCGCUGAUGAGCGUGCCCUAAUUUCUCUCGGAUAUAGACA
rnacentral:sRNA from 2 species